rfam:Triticum aestivum genome assembly, contig: Triticum_aestivum_CS42_TGACv1_scaffold_146260_2BS
GAUGUACUUCCUCCGUCCCAAAAUUAUUGUCUUAGAUGCAUCAAGAUAGGGAAGUAUCUAACACUAAAACGUGACUAGAUACAUCCGUAUUUAGACAAAUCGAAGACAAGAAUUUUGGGACGGAGGGAGUAUAUA